CUGGCUCAGGAUGAACGCUAGCUACAGGCUUAACACAUGCAAGUCGAGGGGCAGCAUGGGGUAGCAAUACUCAGAUGGCGACCGGCGCACGGGUGAGUAACACGUAUCCAACCUGCCGCUUACUCGGGGAUAGCCUUUCGAAAGAAAGAUUAAUACCCGAUGGUAUAAAGAGUUCGCAUGUUCUCUUUAUUAAAGAAUUUCGGUAAGCGAUGGGGAUGCGUUCCAUUAGAUAGUUGGCGGGGUAACGGCCCACCAAGUCUACGAUGGAUAGGGGUUCUGAGAGGAAGGUCCCCCACAUUGGAACUGAGACACGGUCCAAACUCCUACGGGAGGCAGCAGUGAGGAAUAUUGGUCAAUGGACGAGAGUCUGAACCAGCCAAGUAGCGUGAAGGAUGACUGCCCUAUGGGUUGUAAACUUCUUUUAUAAGGGAAUAAAGUGAGGGACGUGUCCCUUUUUGUAUGUACCUUAUGAAUAAGGAUCGGCUAACUCCGUGCCAGCAGCCGC
rnacentral:rRNA from 1 species